UACAGAGGGUGCGAGCGUUAAUCGGAAUACUGGGCGUAAAGCGCACGUAGUCGGCUUUGCAAGUCGGGUGUGAAAUCCCCGGGCUCAACCUGGGAACUGCAUCCGAGACUGCAUUGCUAGAGUAUGGGAGAGGGAAGCGGAAUUUCUGGUGUAGCAGUGAAAUGCGUAGAUAUCAGAAGGAACAUCAGUGGCGAAGGCGGCUUCCUGGAC
rnacentral:rRNA from 1 species